UGAAAAGAUGAACUGAGAAUCAUAUUGUCACAUUUGAGGGAAAAAAGCAGUUUAAUAUGUGGUAAAUUACCAAGAUGUCAGCUCUAUAUUUGAUUGGAAUUAAUGUAAGUUUUUGGAAUAUGGCAUGCUAAAUCUAAAAAAUGGCCUAAUCACUUAAUGAAGAAAAGAAACAAUCAUUAUCUUCUCCUUUCUUUAUGCCCUUAAGGAACAACUUUCACAUCUGCAGACAAAAAAGGAGCCAUUAGAGAGAAAAGUUG
rnacentral:lncRNA from 1 species